rnacentral:tRNA from 1 species
ACCUGGGUGGCUCAGUUGUUAAGCAUCUGACUUGGGGUCAGGUCAAUUUCUCACAGUCUGUGGGUUCAAGCCCCACAUCAGGGU